GACGAACGCUGGCGGCGUGCCUAACACAUGCAAGUCAACUUGACUGAAGGAGCAAUCUGACAGUAGAGUGGCGCAAGGGUGCGUAACGCGUAAGUAACUUGCCCCAAGGUAAGGAAUAACGUCGAGAAAUCGGCGCUAAUACCUCAUAAUGCAGCGGAUCCGCAUGGAUAUGUUGUUAAAGGUUUACCGCCUUGGGAUAGGCUUGCGUCUGAUUAGUUAGUUGGUGUGGUAACGGCACACCAAGGCUACGAUCAGUAACUGGUCUGAGAGGAUGAUCAGUCACACUGGAACUGAGACACGGUCCAGACUCCUACGGGAGGCAGCAGUGAGGAAUAUUGGGCAAUGCUCGAAAGAGUGACCCAGCAACGCCGCGUGGAGGAUGAAGGUAUUCUAUAUCGUAAACUCCUGUGAGAGCAGACGAAAGACAGAUUAUUAAUCUGGAUGACUGUAUGCUCAGAGGAAGCCCC
rnacentral:rRNA from 1 species